rnacentral:lncRNA from 1 species
UAGGACUCAUACCAUGUAAUCCUAUUAGAACUCCUUGUAACUGACUAGUGAUCCUGCCCCCUGGAGUAUAUAUAGGAGGGUAGGAGUCCCUAGAUCGGUAGGCUAAGACCUCAUAGAACCACAACAGAGGACUAAAUCCUCAAUACCAAAUAACACCCAAGCGCAGGGCGCAAUAUACAACACCACAAAUAGGACGUAUGGUAUUACGCUUCUCUGGCGGCCCGAACCUGUAUAAAUCUGUGUCUUGUGUCCUCGCUUUUACCAUCAAGUUCCAGGCCCGACGAUCCCCCACUGAC